CCUACGGGAGGCAGCAGUGAGGAAUAUUGCACAAUGGACGAGACCCUGAUGCAGCCAAGCAGCGUGAAUGAUGGCUCGUUUCUGCGCUGUAAACCCUAUCUACAGGGGAGAAAAUGAGGGUACCUAACCCAUCAGCCCCGUCUAAAUAGGUUACGGAAGCCGCGGUAAUACGGAGGUGGCCAGCGUUAUCCGGAUUUACUGGGUGUAAAUGGGGCGCAGAUGGCUAUGCAGGACAGUAGUGAAAGCUUGAGGCCCAACCCCGAGAUUGCAGUUGGAACUGGAAGUCUGGAGUACAGUAGGGGUAGGCGGAAUUCGUAGUGUAGCGGUGAAAUGCUUAGAUAUCACGAGGAACUCCGAUGGCGAAGGCGGCUCGCUGGACUGCGACUGACGCUGAGGCUCGAAGGUGUGGGUAGCAAACAGGAUUAGAUACCCUAGUAGUC
rnacentral:rRNA from 1 species